UUUAGACGGGAUUUAUAGAAAAGGGGAAUUUUUAGAUGAUAAUCCUAAUUAAAUACGGCUCCUGCCACUCCGGCAUAAAUCCCGUUAUAACUCUUAUAACUCGUAAACGGCAAAUCCGACAACUGGUCUGAAAAUAAAUUCGGGGAAUAAUUUGACGUUUGAAAAUUACAAUUCGAUAUAUUAUUAUAUUUGUGACGUACGGGACAAGGGCGAAUGUAUUGCGAAUGCGAUAUUUCUAACGGUUCUGUACAUAAUAUGUUAAAGAAUUAUAACAAUAUUCAUUGAAGAAAUAAAACCGAAACCAAUUUUACGCGAAAUCUUUGUUGGUAUAGUCUCUAGAUAGCGUUAAACGAAAUUCACCCCGUAUAAUACAUUCGAUUUCGAUCGCAAGACGAUGUUAAAAUACAAUUAAUAAUUUAUUAUUCGAUACGAGGGAGUAGUUUUAUCGUGCGCAGUGCUUUUGCAGUUGUAAAAUCCAAUAAAAAAUAUCCGGUGUAAUUAUUAACAAUUAUUAUUAUACUCGAAUACGAUAAUGUAACCGCAUCAGCAGUUAAGUAUAACUGGUAUACUAAUAAUUAUUAUUAAUAAGCGACGGUUUUUAAAAUGUUAAGUCACUGCGACGACAGUUUCUGCGAC